UCCAGGGCUGCCACUGCCGAAGCAUUAUGAAUAAGGAGCAGUCUUGACCAGGACAUGUUUUCUUUCAAGAAACACCAAAGACAGAUUAUGAGAACAGAACGGCAACAUCAGAUAUUGUUUAUGUAGUUCUGUUUACACAUCAGACUCAGGAAUUUCUCUGUCUGCCAAAUUUUUCCCAAUUACUACCCAUUCUGCAAUAAUAGCCUGUAAACUCAGAGCUGAAUUUCCAGAUGUAAAAUCAUCCCACCUGUGAAGUGAAUUCCUGGCAUUCUUUGCUAAAGCACAACCAGAUCUAUCUUUACAUGAGAAUAUGAUACAACAAUUACAUUUAUAAACCUGUAAGAUCAGCACACAAAUUUUUGAGCAGUGUGUAUAAUAGCGAAUUCAUCAUCUUCUCCAGCAUUCUAAAUGCCAUUCUUGCAGCAAGGAAUGAGGACAGGUCAGCAUCAUGGGCACUACUAAAGAACCAUCGGUACCCACUAUUCUUUGACACGAGGAUAGAAAGUAUUCAACUUCUUAAAAGAUGUGCUAUGACUUCAAAUAUGUUUUUAGAUCCAACUAUGACUGGCUGAGACUCUUCUAAGGAACUUGAGAUAAUUCCAGUAUCACCAUGUAAGAAUAUGUCUGGAUGAAGCAGUCUGAAGAUCACUGUAUGAUAUUAACUUUGGGUAAGACUUUUUAGUAAAUCAGAACUUAUCUUUCACUGCUAUUAACACAAUCACAUUGCACUCCCUAAAGUAAGAUUUUGCUUGGACAGCACCAUUAACCAGAGUGUAAUUUUACCUGAGAAAGAAUAAAAGAACUCACUUCUCUCA
rnacentral:lncRNA from 1 species